GGUGACCAGCGGAGGGAUCAUUACAGAGUUGCAAAACUCCCAACCAUUGUGAACCUACCUCACCGUUGCUUCGGCGGGUGGCCCGGCAAAACCGGGCCGCGCCAGCUCCCGCUCAGGGAGUCGGCAACCCGUCAGAGGACCGAAACCAUCAGUCAUCAGUGGCCUCUCUGAGUAACUUAUACAAUAAGUCAAAACUUUCAACAACGGAUCUCUUGGUUCUGGCAUCGAUGAAGAACGCAGCGAAAUGCGAUACGUAAUGUGAAUUGCAGAUUUCAGUGAAUCAUCGAAUCUUUGAACGCACAUUGCGCCCGCUAGUAUUCUGGCGGGCAUGCCUGUUCGAGCGUCAUUUCAACCAUCAAGCGCCUGCGCUUGUGUUGGAGCCCUGCGGCUGCCGCAGGCUCCCAAACCCAGUGGCGGGCUCGUCGUCGUACCGAGUGCAGUAAAUUUACCACGCUCAGGGCGCGCGACGGGUGACCGGCCAUAAAACACCCCCUAUAUCAAGGUUGACCUCGGAUCAGGUAGGACUACCCGCUGAACUUAAGCAUAUCAAUAAGCGGAGGA
rnacentral:rRNA from 1 species